rnacentral:rRNA from 1 species
GAGGGGUCCGCGUCCGAUUAGCUAGUUGGUAGGGUAACGGCCUACCAAGGCGACGAUCGGUAGCCGGCCUGAGAGGGUGAUCGGCCACACUGGAACUGAGACACGGUCCAGACUCCUACGGGAGGCAGCAGUGGGGAAUUUUGCGCAAUGGGCUAACGCCUGACGCAGCAACGCCGCGUGGAGGAUGAAGGUCUUUGGAUUGUAAACUCCUGUCAGCAGGGAAAAAGCGACUCGGCCUAACAUGCCGGGGAGUUGAUUGUACCUGCAGAGGAAGCCCCGGCUAACUCUGUGCCAGCAGCCGCGGUAAUACAGAGGGGGCAAGCGUUAUUCGGAAUUAUUGGGCGUAAAGGGCGCGUAGGCGGCUUGGCAAGUGGAUGGUGAAAUCCCUCGGCUUAACUGAGGAACUGCCGUCCAAACUGCUUUGCUUGAGGCCGGGAGAGGCGAGUGGAAUUCCCAGUGUAGCGGUGAAAUGCGUAGAUAUUGGGAGG